rnacentral:lncRNA from 1 species
CCCCUAAAUAAUUCACCGAAGUUGGGACUUCGACACAGUUUUUCCGUAGUGCCGGAAAAAUUUGUCAAAAUCCGAUUCUUCCUCUUUUAACCGCCUCUACAACCCUUAUCCGACCCCUCUGGACUAUAUCCACCCUUUGUAUAGCCUAAUGUCAUCAAAAGACUAGAUAGAGAUGGAUAUUUACCUUUUUUUUUGGUAAAUCGAGGUCCUUGCGUAGAGGGGAAGGAGAUCUACGUUUUUCCCUUCAGCUGGAAGUGCAACCGGGAUCCCUCUCCUCCUCGAAUCUCCUUCCUCUUCUUCUUUCUUCUUCUUCUUCUUCUCUUUUUUUUUCUUUCUCUCUGUGUUUCCACGCCUGAGACCUCCUCUCCCUCUC